rnacentral:lncRNA from 1 species
GCUUUUGUGGAUGUGCAGUGGCUCAAGGUGCAGCAGGAUUAGCAUCAUGCAGGGCAUGUGAUUCUGACACCCUCUUCUGUGGUGGGGGUGAUUCUGUAGAAAGGAGUUUCUCCAAUAAAGCAGAGCUUCUCUUUCAACUCCAUGGACAUCAGAGAGAGUCCCUUUCAAAAAAGGAGGCUCAGGUCUGGAGAGACAAAGGCCUCUACUUUCGAAAAGGCCUCUUGGAUCAAGCCCAGGCCCUCAUCAGAGCUGACAACAUGUCCAGCCUGCACUACUGCAAGAACUUCUUUGUCUAUGGUAGUGUGGUCAACUGAAGAAGCCGGCUUAGUUGCUCCAGUCAGGUGCUCACACUAAGAAAGGAUGGGUGAAGGUUAUAAAGUGGCUGUGAAUGAGAACUCGGUCUGGGCUCUACCAAGCAGAGAAGCCAUGCAGAGAUGAGAAAGGUGAAAGCCAUGAAACCAUGUUAAGCAGAAAAAUAAAA